CAAUCUAAAUCAAGAUUAGAAUCAAAGGUGACAAUAGUGAUAAUUACUUGAGCUCACCUCAAUUUGUUGUCAAGGUAAAUGUGAUAAGUGAAUGUUUGGAAGAGGGAAAAAAAGUUUGCUAUGAAAUUGGAAACAUUUCAUGGAAACAAUGAACAGAGUGAGAAAAGCAAAAAGCAAAGAUAAAAAACAAUGUUAAACUCUCAUAAACAUACGAUAAGAAUUGUGGAUGAAAAUGAGAGAUGAUGAAGGAAGAGAGAUACAUUGUCAGGGUAAAUAAAUUCCCUGCAGAGCAUUUCAACAAUAGUAAUAACAUAAACAGUAAAAGUAGCCUGAAAUGAUAGAGCAUAUUAUACUGUAUAUGCUUACUGUCAGUUGAUUUAUCAACAUGAUAUUCAUUGGUGAAAGAAUGAAGCAAAAUUUGAGUUUCUCUUUUUUUCUCUUCUCUUCUCUCUCUCUCUCUCGCUUCUGCCAACAAGCUUGGUAAACAGGUGAGAAGAAUGAAUGAUGAAAAUGAUGAUAAAGAAGAGAGGAAAAAAUGAUUUUGUCUCUUUUAAGAUCAUGUUCAAUAUUGUAAUGUGAGCAAGAAAAGUGAACAAAAAAUCAAAGUGAUUGAAGAAGAAAAUGUUUUCAAUCUCUUUUUUGCUUGCCGUCAUUAUUAUCGACUUAACAUGAGAAAAAAUACUUUUUUCAUCUUUAUUAAACAUGAUUAACGUUGUAACGUGUCAACAACAUGUGAUAUGUCAAAUAUUGAAACUUUUUCAUUCUAAAUCAUUUUACCUGUAAACAAGUUUACCUUGAACCAUCAACAUACUGUUCAAAACAUUUUACUUUCUUUGCUCACUUUUUCAUUCUCUUUUGUUUCAAAUGGAAAAUCACAUUUCAGUGUUUAUCAUUUCUUACUUUCCAUUCAACAUGAUAAGCUUUUCUCACUUUUGAAUAACAAUUUUUCAUUCAAUUCGAGUUGGAUAACUUUUUGUUGCUGCAAAUCUUUUAAUAAGUGACAUUUAAUUGACACGAGUUUCAUUGAGUUGGACAUGAAUUUUGUGCAAAAAAUAUCUUCUAACCUUCAAUUGUUUAAAUGCUUCGGAAAACAUGAAAUAAUUAUAAAACGAUUUAAGAUCAAUACUUUUCUUUGAAGUCAUCACAAUAAAACAUGAUGAACACGAAUCAGCUGAAUAUAUCUGCAAGAAAAAGAAACAAAAAAAGUGUGCAAAAAGUGAUAUAAGUUCUUUGGCCCUGGUGACACCUUUUUUUCUGCUGUUCAUUUUUUCAACCGCUUUUUUAUCUCUCCUAGUUUAGCUCAUAAUAUUGAUUCCUCCCCAUGCCAAUCAAAUUAUGGUUUUUUUCAUUCAAGAGUUCCGGUUCCAAUCAUUUUAAGAGUUGCCCUUUACACAGCUUCACCCAACAAUUGGUUCAACAAAAGUAUCGAAUCCAAGAUUAGAAGAUUUAAAGAAAAGAAGAAAAUUAUUGCAAUAAUUAAAUCAAUUACUAAUUGUAAUAACAAUAAAUUGAUUAAAGUUUAUUAGACUCUUAAAAACGGUCUAAGAAUGAAAGAAAAGUAGAAAUCAUGUUUAGUCGAAGUCAAGCCAAGUGUUGGUAAAAAGUUGUCCUAAGAAGAGCUACUUCUAGGUUAUGCUUUAGGUUGACUGUUGGGUUGAAAUUUACGAUAAACAAAAAGCUUGCAAAAGAAUUAAAAAAAGUGAAAACAAGAAUCUCGAGUAAACGUAUUUGCUGAUACGUAACCAGUUGUGUAAAAUGAUUAAAGUGUAAAAAGGGUCUACAAGAGUGGACAAGAUCAUACAGGAAUGUGGUCAUUCAUCACCUUGCUUCAUCGAUCAUCAUCAUUCCUCUUUUACUUUUUUUUGUGCUUUUGCUCAUUCACUUACUGUACUUACUCUUCAACUCAUUUUUCCUCCUCUUCAAUUUAACUCACCAUCAAGUUUUUUUCAUCUUUCACUCACUCACUCUUCAUCUUUUUAACAUUAUUAUGUAAGGAGCAACAGCAGCAUAAACAUCAACUUAACCAAACAAAAAUGGCAAAUGCAAACAGAAAGAGAG